rnacentral:misc_RNA from 1 species
GAUGAAGAACGUAGCGAAAUGCGAUACGUAAUGUGAAUUGCAGAAUUCAGUGAAUCAUCGAAUCUUUGAACGCAUAUUGCGCUCUUUGGUAUUCCGAAGAGCAUGCUUGUUUGGGUAUCAGUAAACACCUCAAAGACUUCAAUUUGUUUUGAAUGGCUUUGGACUUGAGCAAUCCCAACACCAGUCUUUACGAUCGGUGGAGGGUUGCUUGAAAUGCAGGUGCAGCUGGACAUUCUCCUGAGCUAAAAGCAUAUUUAUUUAGUCCCGUCAAACGGAUUAUUACUUUUGCUGCAGCUAACAUAAAGGGAGUUUGACCGUAUUGGCUGACUGAUGCAGGAUUUCACAAGGGUCGGCAACGAUUCUUGUAAAACUCGAUCUCAAAUCAAGUAAGACUACCCGCUGAACUUAAGCAUAUCAAUAAGCGGAGGA